AACGAACGCUGGCGGCAGGCCUAACACAUGCAAGUCGAGCGCCCCGCAAGGGGAGCGGCAGACGGGUGAGUAGCGCGUGGGAACCUUCCCAGUGGUACGGAAUAGCUCAGGGAAACUUGAGGUAAUACCGUAUACGCCCGCAAGGGGAAAGAUUUAUCGCCAUUGGAUGGGCCCGCGUCGGAUUAGCUAGUUGGUGGGGUAAUGGCUCACCAAGGCGACGAUCCGUAGCUGGUCUGAGAGGAUGAUCAGUCACUGGGACUGAGACACGGCCCAGACUCCUACGGGAGGCAGCAGUGGGGAAUAUUGGACAAUGGGCGCAAGCCUGAUCCAGCCAUGCCGCGUGAGUGACGAAGGUCUUCGGAUUGUAAAGCUCUUUUGGCGGGGACGAUAAUGACGGUACCCGCAGAAUAAGCCCCGGCUAACUUCGUGCCAGCCGCCGCCGUAACAC
rnacentral:rRNA from 1 species